rnacentral:rRNA from 1 species
CGCGUAGGUGGCCAAUUAAGUCAAAUGUGAAAUCCCCGAGCUUAACUUGGGAAUUGCAUUCGAUACUGGUUGGCUAGAGUAUGGGAGAGGAUGGUAGAAUUCCAGGUGUAGCGGUGAAAUGCGUAGAGAUCUGGAGGAAUACCGAUGGCGAAGGCAGCCAUCUGGCCUAAUACUGACACUGAGGUGCGAAAGCAUGGGAGCAAACA